rnacentral:tRNA from 1 species
ACCGCGAUAGUUCAGCUGGUAGAGCAUCUGCCCGGUAUGCGGAGGGUCGCCGGUUGGAUUCCGGCUCACGGCG